rnacentral:rRNA from 1 species
AGAGUUUGAUCCUGGCUCAGAACGAACGCUGGCGGCGUGCUUAACACAUGCAAGUCGAACGUGAUUGAGGGCUUGCUCUCAUGAAAGUGGCGCACGGGUGAGUAACACGUGGAUAAUCUGCCUGGUGAUUCGGGAUAACACUUCGAAAGGGGUGCUAAUACCGAAUAAGCCCACAGUCUCUUCGGGGGGUGCGGGAAAAGGGGGCCUCUGCAUAUGCUCCUGUCACUAGAUGAGUCCGCGGCCCAUUAGCUAGUUGGUAGGGUAAUGGCCUACCAAGGCGACGAUGGGUAGCUGGUCUGAGAGGAUGAUCAGCCACACUGGAACUGAAACACGGUCCAGACUCCUACGGGAGGCAGCAGUGAGGAACUUUGCGCAAUGGGGGCAACCCUGACGCAGCAACGCCGCGUGAGUGAAGAAGGCCUUUGGGUCGUAAAGCUCUGUCAAUCGGGAAGAAGUUAUGGGAGUCGAAUAGGCUUUCAUAUUGACGGUACCGGUGAAGGAAGCAUCGGCUAACUCCGUGCCAGCAGCCGCGGUAAUACGGGGGAUGCAAGCGUUGUUCGGAAUUAUUGGGCGUAAAGCGCGUGCAGGCGGUUGCUUAAGUCUGAUGUGAAAGCCCUGGGCUCAACCCGGGAAGUGCAUUGGAAACUGGGCAACUUGAGUACGGGAGAGGAUAGUGGAAUUCCUGGUGUAGAGGUGAAAUUCGUAGAUAUCAGGAGGAACACCGAUGGCGAAGGCAGCUUUCUGGACCGAUACUGACGCUGAGGCGCGAAGGCGUGGGUAGCGAACAGGAUUAGAUACCCUGGUAGUCC